AUUGAACGCUGGCGGCAGGCCUAACACAUGCAAGUCGAGCGGAUGAAGGGAGCUUGCUCCUGGAUUCAGCGGCGGACGGGUGAGUAAUGCCUAGGAAUCUGCCUGGUAGUGGGGGAUAACGUCCGGAAACGGGCGCUAAUACCGCAUACGUCCUGAGGGAGAAAGUGGGGGAUCUUCGGACCUCACGCUAUCAGAUGAGCCUAGGUCGGAUUAGCUAGUUGGUGGGGUAAAGGCCUACCAAGGCGACGAUCCGUAACUGGCCUGAGAGGAUGAUCAGUCACACUGGAACUGAGACACGGUCCAGACUCCUACGGGAGGCAGCAGUGGGGAAUAUUGGACAAUGGGCGAAAGCCUGAUCCAGCCAUGCCGCGUGUGUGAAGAAGGUCUUCGGAUUGUAGAGCACUUUAAGUUGGGAGGAAGGGCAGUAAGUUAAUACCUUGCUGUUUUGACGUUACCAACAGAAUAAGCACCGGCUAACUUCGUG
rnacentral:rRNA from 1 species